ACUGCUUUUCUAGACUUCCUAGCAUGGGCUGUUGUGCUGGAGAGAACGAGAGCUACGAAGAGACUACAAUGCCUCUGACUUUUUCAUAGGACAGUUGGCCGAGGAAGACAAACAUAAAGAUGAAGUGCUUAAUUCAAGGUCACACAAUGUCGGGGAUGGACCUCCAGAUUUCCUUACUGACCUGCAUUAUCUUGUGGAUACCUGAGUGAAUUCCACACCACCCAUUUUAUAGAUGAAACCACUGAGACAUGGAGCAACUGACUGAGUAGUCACUGCCCCACCCCUGCCUGGAGCCUCACACAUGACUCGUCUCCUCUCAGUGACCACAGGUUGGUUGAGGGGUUUAACAAGGCUAAGAAGGUGAGACGUGGUCUUGUAACACAGUGGUUAAGAAUGUGACUUUGGAGCCAGCCUGCUAGGGGCUGAAUUCUGACUCAGCCAUUUACUAACUGUGUGACCUUAGGCUGGAGUGCAAUGGCAUGAUCUCGGCUCACCACAAUCUCUGCUUCCUGGGUUCAAGCGAUUCUCCUGCCUCAGCCUCCCAAGUACCUGGGACUACAGGCACUCGCCACCAUG
rnacentral:antisense_RNA from 1 species